rnacentral:rRNA from 1 species
AGUGAACGCUGGCGGUAGGCCUAACACAUGCAAGUCGAACGGCAGCACAGUAAGAGCUUGCUCUUACGGUUGGCGAGUGGCGGACGGGUGAGGAAUACAUCGGAUUCUACUUUUUCUUGGGGGAUAACGUAGGGAAACUUACGCUAAUACCGCAUACGUCCUACGGGUGAAAGCAGGGGAUCUUCGGACCUUGCGCGAUUGAAUGAGCCGAUGUCGGAUUAGCUAGUUGGCUGGGUAAAGGCCCACCAAGGCGACGAUCCGUAGCUGGUCUGAGAGGAUGAUCAGCCACACUGGAACUGAGACACGGUCCAGACUCCUACGGGAGGCAGCAGUGGGGAAUAUUGGACAAUGGGCGCAAGCCUGAUCCAGCCAUACCGCGUGGGUGAAGAAGGCCUUCGGGUUGUAAAGCCCUUUUGUUGGGAAAGAAAAGCAGCAGGUUAAUACCCCGCUGUUCUGACGGUACCCAAAGAAUAAGCACCGGCUAACUUCGUG